UAAUACAUGCAAGUCGAACGAACUUCCGUUAAUUGAUUAUGACGUACUUGUACUGAUUGAGAUUUUAACACGAAGUGAGUGGCGAACGGGUGAGUAACACGUGGGUAACCUGCCCAGAAGUAGGGGAUAACACCUGGAAACAGAUGCUAAUACCGUAUAACAGAGAAAACCGCAUGGUUUUCUUUUAAAAGAUGGCUCUGCUAUCACUUCUGGAUGGACCCGCGGCGUAUUAGCUAGUUGGUGAGGUAAAGGCUCACCAAGGCAGUGAUACGUAGCCGACCUGAGAGGGUAAUCGGCCACAUUGGGACUGAGACACGGCCCAGACUCCUACGGGAGGCAGCAGUAGGGAAUCUUCCACAAUGGACGCAAGUCUGAUGGAGCAACGCCGCGUGAGUGAAGAAGGGUUUCGGCUCGUAAAGCUCUGUUGUUAAAGAAGAACGUGGGUAAGAGUAACUGUUUACCCAGUGACGGUAUUUAACCAGAAAGCCACGGCUAACUACGUGCCAGCAGCCGCGGUAAUACGUAGGUGGCAAGCGUUAUCCGGAUUUAUUGGGCGUAAAGCGAGCGCAGGCGGUCUUUUAAGUCUAAUGUGAAAGCCUUCGGCUCAACCGAAGAAGUGCAUUGGAAACUGGGAGACUUGAGUGCAGAAGAGGACAGUGGAACUCCAUGUGUAGCGGUGAAAUGCGUAGAUAUAUGGAAGAACACCA
rnacentral:rRNA from 1 species